UGGGGAAUAUUGGACAAUGGGCGCAAGCCUGAUCCAGCCAUGCCGCGUGGGUGAAGAAGGCCUUCGGGUUGUAAAGCCCUUUUGUUGGGGAAGAAAUCGUGCAGGUGAAUAUCCUGCGCGGAUGACGGUACCCAAAGAAUAAGCACCGGCUAACUUCGUGCCAGCAGCCGCGGUAAUACGGAGGGUGCAAGCGUUACUCGGAAUUACUGGGCGUAAAGCGUGCGCAGGCGGCUUUGUAAGACAGAUGUGAAAUCCCCGGGCUCAACCUGGGAACUGCAUUUGUGACUGCAAGGCUAGAGUGCGUCAGAGGGAGGUGGAAUUCCGCGUGUAGCAGUGAAAUGCGUAGAGAUGCGGAGGAACACCGAUGGCGAAGGCAGUCUCCUGGGAUGACACUGACGCUCAUGCACGAGAGCGUGGGGAGCAAACA
rnacentral:rRNA from 1 species